GAAAGAAAGUGAGGGGAGGGGCAGAGAGGGUGAGGGAGAAAGGCAGCAGACUCCCCUCUGAGUUCGGAGCCUGACACUCAUGAUCCUGAGAUCUCAACCCUGAGAUCACAACCUGAGCAGAAACCAAAGGUUGGCUGCUUAACCAACUGUGCCACCCAGGUGCCCCUGAUCAGAUGAUAUAUUUAGCCAAGACUUACAGUGAUUGUCAAUUCUCAUUCAUGGAAUGAAGGAAAUGGUCAGAAAGUUCCCCGACUGUGUGUCAAUAAAAUGAAUUUGCCACUUCUUUGCCCCCAACAUAGCCUGAAGUGUGUGAGCCAGGAAUUUCAAUACCAUUUUGAGGCUUUGAAGUUUAAUAUAUUUGAUAAAACACCUCCUGUUUCUGGAUGGGUAAUGAAAAUAUUGUUUUAAGGUAAGUCUGAUCCUUGGUGAGCCCAACAUUUUGGGUUGCCUUACUCAGAGAAGAGCUUUUUAAUUUAUUCUUUCAACAAGUAUUUAUUGAGUGCCUACAAUGGGAUGGAUGCUAGAGGUAUAUCAAUGACCACGACAAAACUGGUUCUCUUUGCUCUGUUUCAACCUAGAGGGAAAGGGAUAUGGUGAGACAGGAUGUAAGAGAAGGAAAACAGCUCACAUUAACUGGGCAUCUCUCUGUGCUACUUACUGUCCAGGUGUGAUCACAUUUAAACCUCACAGCAACCCCAUGAAGAAGGUAUUUUUGUCAUUAUCCACAUUUCACUGAUGAAGAACUGAGACUUAGAGGAAUAUCUAACUUGCUCAAGACUGAAGGGCUCAUGAACAGCAGAGCAAGGAAUUUAACUCCAGUUUUGCCUGAAUUAAAACUCUAUCCAUUUAAGUACUAUGCCCAAAUGCCUCUGUUAUCUCAUGGUGAUAAUUACCACUGAAAGAAAAAAGAUUGUUUUCCUUAUUUGAAAAUAAAAUUUUCCAUCAUAUUGAGUUAAAGCACUUUCUCUAUGGGUUUGGCAAUCCAAUUAGACAUCCUUGGGCCUGAGUCCUAUCCUUUCUUACUGGUAGAAAGUGGGCUGUCAUCUUAAAAUAAGCAAACCAGAGUGGCCUCUGUGUGUCUGUGUCUGUAUACACCAUUUUUUCCAUAUAUAUGGGAAAUUAGUCCACAACAUAUGGAGAAUUUCAGCAAAGAGAUAAAAAGUUUAAAAAUUUCAGCAAAGAGAUAAAAAGUUUUAAAAAAAUGAAAUGCUAAAAAUGAAGAUAUGAUAUUAACUACAAAGAAUUCAUUUCAUGGGCUUAAAAGCAGUCUGGACAUAGUAAAUAAUCACUGAACUGGAAGACAUUUGGGCCAACAGACAUUACCCAAACUAAACCACAAAGAGAAGAGAGAGAUAAAAACAGAUUACAACAUCUAAGACCUUUGGAACAAUACUACUGAUCUAAAACAUGUAAUUGGAGCCCAAGAAAGAGAGAUGAAAGAGUCGGGAGUUUCCAGUAAUUUUCCAAAAUAUUUUUAAAGACAUUAACUCAACAGAACCAAGAAGCUCAGCAAAUGACAAGAAAGAUAAAUACAAGGAAAACACACAUAUCUAUAUUAUAGUCAAACCACAACAUCUUUAAAUUACCAAAAGUAAAGUCAACCUAUACUAUACUCUAAUGGUUCUUUAAAAAGAAAUACAAAAUAAAGACAUUUUCAGAUAGAUAUAAGAUGAGAGAGAAUUUGCUGACAGCUGACCUAAACCAUAAGAAAUACCAAAAGAAAUUCUUUGGUCUAAAGGAAAAAUGAUACUCGAUAAAAGCUGGGUCAGCAGGAAGAAAUAAAAAGCACCAAAAGGCUUAAUAUAUCUUUUUAAUAUUCCUUAUUUCAUAUAAUAUUAUAUGUUACAUAUAUCUUAUAUGUGCUUACGUAGAUAAUAGAUAACAGAGACAGAGACAGAGAUAAAGACAGAUUCCUGUAACCUGCAAAAACUGGCAGGAAAAAAAAGGGUCCCGCUUAGAGGGACAAGGAAAAACACCAAAAUUUAUGGAACACCACCUAGAGUGGUAUGGAGUCUUCAUGCAUGCAAUGUAGGCAUCGGCAAGGGCGCCCGCACCCUGCAAUCCCAAGUUCCAGAUAUGAUUGGCCCAAACCUUCCAUCUCCAUUCCCUGAAUUCUUUCUAUUCUCUGCAUGUUUGUGUCUAUUCUUUUAUCUCUCUGUGACUUUAAUGCAAGCCAGGGCACAUAGUACCUGCUCUGUUCCCCUCUUCCAACCCAAAGUGGUUUUGAAAUAUAAGAUUGUAUCAGGUAGCAGAAAUUUUACUGAAGAUAGAAACCUGCCAUCCCACUUUGAACAACUGAACCUUUAGAACAUUCUGUUGUAAAUGUCUCACCGGUCUCUUCUUCUAUGUACUAGGCCUCCAUCCACCAUCACAUAAGCUUCUUUUUGCCUACCUUUCUGAUCCUUUUCUCUCUCAAGAACUAAAGAAGAAUUUUCUCAUGUUCUCAUACAGAGAAGCUUAGCCAUCCCUCUCAUUCAUUGCUUUGGCUCCCGUCAACAUUCUUCCCUUCUUCGCAGAGGGACUUCACUGCAUAGCUCCAGGGGCCUCACGGAGUCCACAUCUAUCUAUAUUAUAGUCAAACCACAACAUCAUAGUCAGUCCACAUAAAUGGGGCUCCCGGGGCUCGUGUCAUGCGCAGAUUGAACAGCAGUGUGUGGCAG
rnacentral:lncRNA from 1 species